AUUGAACGCUGGCGGCAUGCCUUACACAUGCAAGUCGAGCGGGGUUUUCGGACCUAGCGGCGGACGGGUGAGUAAUGCGUAGGAAGCUACCCGAUAGAGGGGGAUACCAGUUGGAAACGACUGUUAAUACCGCAUAAUGUCUACGGACCAAAGUGUGGGACCUUCGGGCCACAUGCUAUCGGAUGCGCCUACGUGGGAUUAGCUAGUUGGUGAGGUAAUGGCUCACCAAGGCGACGAUCCCUAGCUGGUUUGAGAGGAUGAUCAGCCACACUGGAACUGAGACACGGUCCAGACUCCUACGGGAGGCAGCAGUGGGGAAUAUUGGACAAUGGGCGCAAGCCUGAUCCAGCCAUGCCGCGUGUGUGAAGAAGGCCUUCGGGUUGUAAAGCACUUUCAGUAGGGAGGAAGCGUUGUGUGUUAAUAGUACACAGCGUUGACGUUACCUACAGAAGAAGCACCGGCUAACUCUGUGCCAGCAGCCGCAGUAAGAC
rnacentral:rRNA from 1 species